GUCCACGCCGUAAACGAUGGAUACUAGCUGUUCGGUGCAAACUGAGUGGCUAAGCGAAAGUGAUAAGUAUCCCACCUGGGGAGUACGUUCGCAAGAAUGAAACUCAAAGGAAUUGACGGGGGCCCGCACAAGCGGUGGAGCAUGUGGUUUAAUUCGAUGAUACGCGAGGAACCUUACCAAGGCUUAAAUGUAGAUUGACAGGACUGGAAACAGUUUUUUCUUCGGACAAUUUACAAGGUGCUUCAUGGUUGUCGU
rnacentral:rRNA from 1 species